GCCUAGGGUUAGGGUAUGCUUCAGAGUGCCUCACACGUCCUUCUUCAGAACCCUAGAGCCGCCUCUCUUCUCCUCCAGAUCCGACGCCGCCUCUCUUCUCCUGAAGCCAUCCUUUGAAGAUCUCAUCUGUUCUUCAUUGUUUCUUUCAUCUAUUCUACUCUUUCUUGCUUUUGGAUACAAGAUCUCUUCUGUGACAUUUAGAGAAGUUUUCUUUGAACCCUUUUUGAUUAUUGAAUCGUUUAUUAUGUUGUUUCAAUUCAAUAUGAUUUCGUUUCUUUGCAUCAUGAGCGAGUAGUUCUUUUUGUUGGGUUUGAUGGGGUGAUUCAAAGGGGAUUCAUGGUUCAAAACUAGUUAGGUUGUUAGAUCUGAUUUUUUACUUUAUAUUUAUGAUUCCUCUUGGACUUCUUAUUCUUAAUGCAUGAUACUUGAUUGAUCACGAGUAUCUGAUCUCAGGGAGAGGGAAGCGCUAACCGCGUGACUUGAUCUCAGAUCUAGGGUUGCGAGAGCUUCGCGCCAUAACCUGCGAAAGUUGAGUUAUGGAGUGUCGUGGACCUAUCAAACUUGUUAAAACUGCUGAUCUCUAUGCGUCAUUGCCUGCGAAAGUUGAGUAACGGAGUAUAGAGGUUUAGACAUUUGGUUUCUCGAAAGAGGAUCAAGUGUACUACCAGUGCUUUGAGUCGGGAAUCUAGUAGACAACAUUUAUUAAUUAAUCUUCUAAUUUGAUUUGUAGAGAACCAUGAAAACCCUGAGAUAAUCCCUAAUGCCCAGCGCCUUUCUCUUAUUGAUUUACAACUUCAUUUUAUUUGCUUAUUUCGUUUUCAACGUGACAACAAACCAAAACCCCUUAAUCGUUUUUCUUAGUUGGAUUUCUUUUCAGGAUUCAUUCGCGUAGUUAUUCACUCUCUGUGGGAUCGAUCCUUAAAUACACAACCGAUUCACUGUGCACUUGUAGUAUCGUGUGUCAUCUAAGAACUUGUAUUAGCUUGUGUUGGAUUACAUAACUUUCUUCGUAAAGAAUGUCGGUCCGAUGAGUUUCUCCUGAAAAAACAGUGCAAACAACGAAGCAUACAAUGAGAAUAACGAGAAUAACAAUUUUGAGGAAAAUCGAGAUACGGAGACUCUCCAAUCGCAACAAAGAGAAUAUGCUAAUAAUUGGAGACACAAUAGCUGCUAAUAUGUGGGCAGAAGCUACAGGAGCAGGGAGUAUGCAAUGAAGAUCCUGAAAUUUUUAUUUUCAAUAUUUUGUGGAAUCUUACUUUUCAUCUGUUGGAUUAAUCUUUUGUUCUAAACAUUGUUAUUAAAUUAUUUCUUAGCAUGUUACUAGUUUUAAUUGAUGCAUCA